rnacentral:rRNA from 1 species
UAGGGAAUCUUCGGCAAUGGGGGCAACCCUGACCGAGCAACGCCGCGUGAGUGAAGAAGGUUUUCGGAUCGUAAAGCUCUGUUGUAAGAGAAGAACGUGUGUGAGAGUGGAAAUUUCACACAGUGACGGUAACUUACCAGAAAGGGACGGCUAACUACGUGCCAGCAGCCGCGGUAAUACGUAGGUCCCGAGCGUUGUCCGGAUUUAUUGGUCGUAAAGCGAGCGCAGGCGGUUUAAUAAGUCCGAAGUUAAAGGCAGUGGCUUAACCAUUGUUCGCUUUGGAAACUGUUAAACUUGAGUGCAGAAGGGGAGAGUGGAAUUCCAUGUGUAGCGGUGAAAUGCGUAGAUAUAUGGAGGAACACCGGUGGCGAAAGCGGCUCUCUGGUCUGUAACUGACGCUGAGGCUCGAAAGCGUGGGGAGCAAACAGG